CUAGCUAUAUGUACACUAUAACAACUUAAUAUACUAUUUCAUGUCUAAGGUUUUGAGAUAAGCGCUAUCAGUCUAGCUGAAAGCGAUAUCACAAAAAACUUAUCCAAUAAUUGUUUAUAAUAUUAUAUUUGAGAAAUAUUCUCUUACUUUCUCCAUAGGUUGAAUUGAAAAACCUAAUACGUUAGUUCACAUAAAUUAACUACUAUUGCACUUCAAAACUGGUAGUUAAAUCGUCAAUAAAUUAACAAGCAUUCAAAUAAUUUAUAUUUCUGUUUCGUUCCCUCCUUAACACUUCAUUCCAAUUUCUGAACAAACUUCUUUCGUCGUGGUGUAGUCUAUCCAGUCACUUAGAUUUUGAAGUCAAAACCAAUUAGCCUUUCUCGCGAUGACGAAUAUCCGCCAAUUUGUGCAUCUAAUUCUCCUUAACCAAUGCAGACAAUUAAAACAAUCAAAAUAAACUAACCAUUUACAACCGCAAAUUUACCAUCAAUAUAAAUAAAUAAAUAAAUACUUUAUUUAAACUGUUAAAAAUCCCAUCAGCAAUGUUGCUGGUAUCAAAUGCUGCUGGUAAUAUGCUCUGUUAUGUGGACUUAUCUCGCAGAUUUCGGCUGAAAAGGCAUCAACUAUUUCGCUGACCUCAGACUGACAUUUCGUCAAAACUUUUUUCUUCAAAAUUGGUUUAGAAACGAAUUUGGAGUAGGGUUAGGUUAGGUUAGGGUAAGGAUCAGGAUUAGGGUUAGAGUUGGUGUUUGGAGUAGGGUUAAUGUUAGUAAAACCGUUGCUUUGUUACGUUUUGUCACUCUGAGGCCAGCGAAAUAAUCUCUUCCGGCUGAAAAGCCGCCCAAAAAUGGCGGCGUGAGAAAGGUUAAUUAGUAGCGUCUUUUCAUCUCAACUUUCUCUCGAUGUUUGUCUGGUAUAGCAUGAUGAGAAUAUACCCGUUCUUCUAUUUGGCGUCCGUUGUGUCUGAUUUUGUGCUGGAGUUAUUAUUGGUCUUUUGACUUCAUAUCGAGUUAUGUUGUUGUUAGGGUCAUAUACCUGGAUACUUCCAUCGACCUAAA
rnacentral:lncRNA from 1 species